rnacentral:lncRNA from 1 species
AUCAAUAUCAAGAUAUAUAAUGAUCCCCUCAUUCCAGAAUAGUCUCUUGUGUUCUUUCCAGCCAAUGCCCCACCCCUGGAUUCUGGCAACAAUUGAUCUGCUUUUUAUUACCAUGGAUCAUAUUUGUCUUUCCUCAAGAUACAAAUAAAUGAAAUAAUGUAGUGUGUCCUCUUUAACUUUGGCUUAUUUCUCUCAGCACACUAUUUCUGAAAUUUGUCCAUACUGUUGAUAUGGCAGACAGAAUUUUAAGAUGGUUCCUAAAAUUCUUGCCUCCUGGUAUGUAUAAUUUUCUCUCAGUUUUCCACUGAACACUAACCUAGGUGCUAUUGUAAAGGGAUUUCUCAAGUGUAAUUAAAGUCCCUAAUAAGUUUAUUUUAAGUUAGAAAAAUUUUCCCAGGUGAGCUUGAGCUAAGUGAGUGACCUAAGCAGGUGAGUUGUUAGAAAAAAAUUAAGAGAUAUUUGAAGCAUAGGCAAAAUUCUGUUGGCUUUUAAAAGGAAACUUCCAUGUGAUAGAGAAAGCCAGAUGAUAGGGAACACAAGGUUACCUCUAAAUUGACAACCAGCAAAAAAGCUGAGACUUCAGUCUUAUCAUCAUAAGGAAUUGAAUUCUGUCAACAGCCACGUGACCUUAGAGGAGGAACCUGAGCCGCAGAUGAGAUCAUGGCCCUGGCCAAUACCUUAAAUUCAUCCUGGUGAGAUAUGAGCAGAGAACUCAGCUAUGCCAUGCUCAGAUUUCUCACCUUUAGAGCAGUAAAUUAAUAAGUGAGCAUUAUUUGAAGCUGCUAAGUUUGUGGUGAUUUGUUGCACACCAAGAGAAAACAUAUACUGUAUAUAUUAUUAGAUUUCUCCUUUAUAUUGGUGGGUGUAUUUGUUAUCUAUUACUUCCUAACAAAUCGACAAUAAUUAAGUGUCUUAAGACAACACAUAUUUAUUACCUCAUAGUUUCUGUGGGUCAGAAAUCUGGGCAUGGUUUAUGUGAGUUCUUUCAUUUAAAGUUGUUGGCAAAUCUGUAAACAAGGAAGCAGUCAGGACCGAGGUCUCAUCUGAAAGUCAACUUGGGAUGGGUCUGCUUCCAGCCUCACUUAACAUAACAGCUGGCAGGAUUCAGUUGCUCUUGGGUAGUUGGAUUGAUGGCCUCAGAUAACUAGGUAGCUAUUAGCUAGAUUUCACCCUCAGUUUGUUGCCGUGUGGGCCUCCCUAAGGUGGCAAUUUACUUCAUCAAAACCAGCAAGGGAGAGAGUUGGCUACAAUCUCUAGUAAUGUAGCUACAGAAAUGACAUCCCCUUAGCAAUGAGAUAUUUUAUUAAUUAGAAAGAAAUUACUCAACAGGAGGGGAUUACACAAUGUAGUGAAUACCAGGAGGCUGAGAUCAGAAGGAGCUAGUGUAGAAGCUGCCUACCACAGUGAGUAGUAUUCUAUUACAUGAAUAUACCAGAAUGUCUGAAUCCACCCAACUGGGCAUAGACAUUUGUAUUCAUUCAAGAUACAGACUAUUAUUAUUUUAAAAAUAAAAGUUACUAUGAACAUUUAAGUAUAA